rnacentral:misc_RNA from 1 species
AAAGUCGUAACAAGGUUUCCGUAGGUGAACCUGCGGAAGGAUCAUUAACACGUAUCCAUACGUAUUAUAUACCAAACCGUGAACUCGUUUGAAAAUAACACUGAAGAAGGGGGAAGUGAUAGGAAUUCAUUCCAAUUGCGACUCCUUUCUUGUACCUUAUUUCAACUUAUAAACCACUUGUAACCAAUUGUACUAAACAAACUAAGAAAGUGUAGUCUGCGUAUGUUCAUUCAUGCGCUUCUUCGCUUUUUGUAUUUACGAAACGUAAAAACAAUUCUUAGCAACGGAUAUCUUGGUUCUC